rnacentral:rRNA from 1 species
UACGGAGGGAGCUAGCGUUGUUCGGAAUUACUGGGCGUAAAGCGCACGUAGGCGGCUUUGUAAGUCAGGGGUGAAAUCCUGGAGCUCAACUCCAGAACUGCCUUUGAUACUGGCGAUCUCGAGUCCGGGAGAGGUGAGUGGAACUGCGAGUGUAGAGGUGAAAUUCGUAGAUAUUCGCAAGAACACCAGUGGCGAAGGCGGCUCACUGGCCCGGUACUGACGCUGAGGCACGAAAGCGUG